AGCGACUGACUCGUGCGUGCUGCAGCUGAAACUCCGCUAUCGCCUGCUGCUGCUCGCAGAGUCUCUCCAGCAUGUGCAAGGUGGAGUUCCACCUUGUGGGCACAUCGCAUAUGAGGUGGUGAGUGGGAAGGCCAAAGUUACGCUACAGCGCAGACAGGUGAGGAGCAGCAGGGUGAGAACGCCGAAAGCGCGCACAGCCGCUACAGUGAAACUGCGAAUGGCUCAUUAAAUCAGUUAUGGUUCCUUUGAUCGCUCCAUCUGUUACUUGGAUAACUGUGGUAAUUCUAGAGCUAAUACAUGCCAAC
rnacentral:lncRNA from 1 species